rnacentral:tRNA from 1 species
GCCCUAGUAGUCUAGUGGCUAUGAUACGGCCCUGUCGAGGCCGUGGCGCGGGUUCGAUUCCCGCCUAGGGCG